rnacentral:rRNA from 1 species
UACGGAGGGUGCAAACGUUGCUCGGAAUCAUUGGGCGUAAAGCGCACGUAGGCGGCCCAGCAAGUGGGGGAGUGAAAGCCCUCGGCUUAACCGAGGAAGUGCUUUCCAAACUACUGGGCUUGAAUACUGGAGAGGGUCGCGGAAUUCCCGGUGUAGAGGUGAAAUUCGUAGAUAUCGGGAGGAACACCAGUGGCGAAGGCGGCGACCUGGACAGAUAUUGACGCUGAGGUGCGAAAGCGUGGGGAGCAAACAGG